AUUGAACGCUGGCGGCAUGCUUUACACAUGCAAGUCGAACGGUAACAGGCCGCAAGGUGCUGACGAGUGGCGAACGGGUGAGUAAUGCAUCGGAACGUGCCCAGUCGUGGGGGAUAACGCAGCGAAAGCUGUGCUAAUACCGCAUACGAUCUAUGGAUGAAAGCGGGGGACCGUAAGGCCUCGCGCGAUUGGAGCGGCCGAUGUCAGAUUAGGUAGUUGGUGGGGGAAAGGCUCACCAAGCCAACGAUCUGUAGCUGGUCUGAGAGGACGACCAGCCACACUGGGACUGAGACACGGCCCAGACUCCUACGGGAGGCAGCAGUGGGGAAUUUUGGACAAUGGGCGCAAGCCUGAUCCAGCAAUGCCGCGUGCAGGAAGAAGGCCUUCGGGUUGUAAACUGCUUUUGUACGGAACGAAACGCGCUGUGCUAAUACCACGGCGUAAUGACGGUACCGUAAGAAUAAGCACCGGCUAACUACGUGCCAGCCGCCGCAGUAA
rnacentral:rRNA from 1 species